rnacentral:rRNA from 1 species
ACGCUCGACACCUACGGGAGCAGCAGUGGGGAAUAUUGCACAAUGGAGGAAACUCUGAUGCAGCGACGCCGCGUGGAGGAAGAAGGUCUUCGGAUUGUAAACUCCUGUUGUUGAGGACGAUAAUGACGGUACUCAACAAGGAAGUGACGGCUAACUACGUGCCAGCAGCCGCGGUAAUCUGAGCGGGCUGGCAAGGC